UGGCUGCUCUUCCAGAGGUCCUGC
rnacentral:piRNA from 1 species